rnacentral:rRNA from 1 species
GACAGAGGGUGCAAACGUUGUUCGGAAUUACUGGGCGUAAAGGGCGCGUAGGCGGCGUGUUAAGUCAGCUGUGAAAUCUCCAAGCUUAACUUGGAACGGUCAGCUGAUACUGAUGUGCUAGAGUGCAGAAGGGGCAAUCGGAAUUCUUGGUGUAGCGGUGAAAUGCGUAGAUAUCAAGAGGAACACCUGAGGUGAAGACGGGUUGCUGGGCUGACACUGACGCUGAGGCGCGAAAGCUAGGGUAGCAAACGGG